GGUAACCACCAUUCCAACCAUAUCAAUCUUCAAGAACCAUUAACACGGAACGCAUAAAUCCCUCAAACAUUUUUAAAGUUUUAAUAAUUAUUGUCUUCAAAAGCAACAUGCUUUAAUAGGAGAGAAAGAGACAAAGAAAAACUUUUUUAUGCAGAGAGAAGGAGAAAGAAGGGCCAAAAGAAGUCGUGCAAAAUAUGCAACCACUGAUUCCAUGAGGAUACUAAUCCAACACAUCGACAUAACCAGAAACCGGCAAUCUAUACAUGCUUCAAAGAUGUUAAAUUACCUUCAUCAUCGCUAUCAUCAAGGUCAUCCCCCAUAUCACCUCCCAUUCCACCCAUCAUUGAAGCCAUAUCACCCAUUCCACCCAUUCCGCCCAUUCCACCCAUCAUGCCACCCAUUCCGCCCAUCAUUCCACCCAUUCCGCCCAUUCCACCCAUCAUUGAAGCCAUAUCACCACCUCC